UUGAAUCAAGUCUCUGAUGCUUUUGAGUCAUGUAACCUGAAUAAUGCAAAUCAGGAGGGUUAUUGGGAAAAUCCGUUGACUGGGAUAUCAUUCCCUCCUCUCACUCUGUCUGUAUGGACACUCGUAACUUUUUUUAAUAAAGUGAUCACUGCGAUUAAAUUACGGUCUGAAUCCAGAGGUCAAUAAUGCUGUCAGGAUUUACAAGCCAAAGAGAAAUUGAUGGCACAAAAAUGAAAUUGUCUAAAGGCGUCAUUUUCAUUUUUCUGGCAUUGAUUUUUAAGGUUGCUGUGGCAGGGAAUUCCACAAAGGUGUACAUGCUUGAGCUUGAAUUUGAGAAAUUGGUGUAUAAGAAUGUCACUGAGCAGCUGGACAAGCUU